GUCUGAGCUAAACCACCGGCUUCUGGUCGCUGCUUCUUCUCCCACAUAGGGGAACAUCUCCAGGACGAGGUCACUCUGCAACUUCAGUGUCCAUCUGCCAAGCGUGGAACACCCUACACAGGCUUCUGCUGCUGACAAAAACCCUUUGUAUGCACACGCCUCAGAACGGCUGCUCGGAAUUCAGCUGUGCCCUUCCCAGGUUCCAUCUUCCCAAGUAAAUAAAGUGCUCGGCCCUGUCUGUGGCCCUGGUAAGUUGGCCACAGUACCCUGAGGCCGAGCUGCACCUGUUCCUAAGUGCUGGGCAGAGGACAGCAGAGAAGCAGAGCGGUCAUAAAGGACAAGAAAGUGAGGGUUGGACAAGUCUAGAAAGACUGCGAAGUUGGAGCCAGGGCCCAUAGGCGGAAACUCCUUCGUUUCAAAUUCUAUGAAACCUAAAUUCUAAAUAAAAUGUUAGAAGCUCAGUUCUGUACAAAUCUUCACUCCACCUGGCACAAAGAAAUUGUUCCUAGCUGAUGAGUCUUGGGCAAGAAAAGCAGUCCAUGUUCGCAUGGUUCCCCAUAAGAUAGCAUGUAACUUUGAGAGAAUAAAAUUGUCAAAUUAUUAAUAAUGGACAAAAGAUUCUAAAGUUCUUCUGUCGAUAAUGCUCAGUGUUACCCUUCGGUUGUUGGCCUCACAAGUCCUUAAAGACUGCAUUUUCUGGUAGAACUUUCUGGCGGAAAGUCAGCUAUAGUUGUCUCUGAACACACGACUCUUCCUGCCCCAAACGAUGUGAUGCACUGUGGUGUUUUCUUUCAUGAGAUGUUCAUUUUCUUUAUAUUCUUGCAAAAUCAUGCACACAUGAUUUAUAAUUGUGCCAUCAAGGAAAUUAAAAGUCAAAGGAUCUGUUCUCAUAAUCACCUACUUAGCUUUCAGAAUAGGCACUGUUUCAGUUUGGAGAAAAAUGGUAUUUGUUUUUUAAAAUCUCUUCCAAAGAGCAUGAGAUGUCCUUUACAUAAAACAUUCCAAAUAAGCAAAUACAUAAAAACAGGUAGCAGAUUAGUAGUUUCUUAUAAAGGGGAGGAGGAGGGAAGAUGGAGCUCCUUCGCAGGAUGACUAAAAAUUCCACUGAAUUACUUACUUAAAAGCAGCAGGCUGAAUGGUAUGUGGGGUUCUACCUUAGUAAAGACAGGAAGAGGUUAAACGACCAUGAGCUCUGGCAGGUGCCUGUAGCCCAAGAAAGGUAAAAGAAGGGCAGAGCCAUUGGUCAGGAGGCUCCUCAGAGAGGUGCUGUGUGAGCAGAGGAGCCAUGGGUGAGCACAGUCUUCAUUAUGAAGAGCCUGGGCUGUCCUAUGUGAGUGAUAAUGGAUCGCUGGCUGAAAUUUGAAGAACAGCAUCAUGUGCUGUCACACAAGUCUCCUAAAGACAAGCAAAUCUGUCAUCAGCUCCUCUCCUGUGUCCUUCACUGUGGCCUCACAUAGAAACACUCCAUGAUGCUACGGUACAGCACAACCACGGAAGAAAGUGUCAGCGUGAAGUCGUUCGGGAGCCUCUUGCUCAAGGACAAACAGGCCGAGGAACUGCAUGCAGCUGGUGAUUAAUGGAUUGUGGGUCUGGUGAUUUAUAGUAAUCAAAGGAAAAGGCAUCCUAAUGAUCAUUUUUGAGCUGGAUAAUUACCAAUCUAUUAAACAAAUUCAUCAUUUCCCUAAGGCAAAAAAAUGCUACAAUGCAUUCUCUUUUUGUGUAAAUGGGGUAAGCUCAGAGAGAUAUAUUAGUCAAAUUAU